GACGAACGCUGGCGGCGUGCUUAAUACAUGCAAGUCGAACGGAAAGGCCCUGCUUUUGUGGGGUGCUCGAGUGGCGAACGGGUGAGUAACACGUGAGUAACCUGCCCUUGACUUUGGGAUAACCUCAGGAAACUGGGGCUAAUACCGGAUAGGAGCUCCUGCUGCAUGGUGGGGGUUGGAAAGUUUCGGCGGUUGGGGAUGGACUCGCGGCUUAUCAGCUUGUUGGUGGGGUAGUGGCUUACCAAGGCUUUGACGGGUAGCCGGCCUGAGAGGGUGACCGGCCACAUUGGGACUGAGAUACGGCCCAGACUCCUACGGGAGGCAGCAGUGGGGAAUAUUGCACAAUGGGCGGAAGCCUGAUGCAGCAACGCCGCGUGCGGGAUGACGGCCUUCGGGUUGUAAACCGCUUUCGCCUGUGACGAAGCGUGAGUGACGGUAAUGGGUAAAGAAGCACCGGCUAACUACGUGCCAGCAGCCGCGGUGAUACGUAGGGUGCGAGCGUUGUCCGGAUUUAUUGGGCGUAAAGGGCUCGUAGGUGGUUGAUCGCGUCGGAAGUGUAAUCUUGGGGCUUAACCCUGAGCGUGCUUUCGAUACGGGUUGACUUGAGGAAGGUAGGGGAGAAUGGAAUUCCUGGUGGAGCGGUGGAAUGCGCAGAUAUCAGGAGGAACACCAGUGGCGAAGGCGGUUCUCUGGGCCUUUCCUGACGCUGAGGAGCGAAAGCGUGGGGAGCGAACAGGCUUAGAUACCCUGGUAGUCCACGCUGUAAACGGUGGGUACUAGGUGUGGGGUCCAUUCCACGGGUUCCGUGCCGUAGCUAACGCUUUAAGUACCCCGCCUGGGGAGUACGGCCGCAAGGCUAAAACUCAAAGGAAUUGACGGGGCCCCGCACAAGCGGCGGAGCAUGCGGAUUAAUUCGAUGCAACGCGUAGAACCUUACCUGGGUUUGACAUGGAUCGGGAGUGCUCAGAGAUGGGUGUGCCUCUUUUGGGGUCGGUUCACAGGUGGUGCAUGGCCGUCGUCAGCUCGUGUCGUGAGAUGUUGGGUUAAGUCCCGCAACGAGCGCAACCCUUGUUCACUGUUGCCAGCACGUUAUGGUGGGGACUCAGUGGAGACCGCCGGGGUCAACUCGGAGGAAGGUGGGGAUGGCGUCAAGUCAUCAUGCCCCUUAUGUCCAGGGCUUCACGCAUGCUACAAUGGCUGGUACAGAGAGUGGCGAGCCUGUGAGGGUGAGCGAAUCUCGGAAAGUCGGUCUCAGUUCGGAUUGGGGUCUGCAACUCGACCUCAUGAAGUCGGAGUCGCUAGUAAUCGCAGAUCAGCAACGCUGCGGUGAAUACGUUCCCGGGGCU
rnacentral:rRNA from 1 species